UUAGAUCAGAAGCGAGAAUGUUGACAUGAGUAGCGACAAACAGGGUGAGAAACCCUGUCGCCGAAAGUCCAAGGGUUCCUGCUUAAAGCUAAUCUGAGCAGGGUAAGCCGGCCCCUAAGGCGAGGCCGAAAGGCGUAGUCGAUGGGAACCAGGUUAAUAUUCCUGGGCCAGUGGGAUGUGACGGAUCGCAGAUGUAGUUUGCCCUUAUCGGAUUGGGUGGGCUGCUGAGCGGUUCCAGGAAAUAGCCCCACAUCAGACCGUACCCUAAACCGACACAGGUGGACUGGUAGAGUAUACCAAGGCGCUUGAGAGAACCACGUUAAAGGAACUCGGCAAAAUGCCUCCGUAAGUUCGCGAGAAGGAGGCCCCAUAUGUACGCAAGUAUGUGUGGGGGGCACAAACUAGGGGGUGGCGACUGUUUACUUAAAACGCAGGGCUGUGCGAAGCCGUAAGGCGACGUAUACAGUCUGACGCCUGCCCGGUGCUGGAAGAUUAAGAGGAGGGGUGCAAGCUCUGAAUUGAAGUCCCAGUAAACGGCGGCCGUAACUAUAACGGUCCUAAGGCAGCGAAAUUCCUUGUCGGGUAAGUUCCGACCUGCACGAAUGGCGUAACGAUCUCCCCGCUGUCUCUAACGUGGACUCAGCGAAAUUGAACUGUGUGUCAAGAUGCACACUACCCGCGGUUAGACGGAAAGACCCCAUGAACCUUUACUCCAGCUUUGCACUGGUAUCAGGAUUGUGAUGUGCAGGAUAGGUGGUAGGCAUUGAAGCGGGGACGCCAGUCUUCGUGGAGCCUCCCUUGAGAUACCACCCUUCGCCAUCUUGAUAUCUAACCGCGGCCCGUUAUCCGGGUCCGGGACCCUGCAUGGUGGGGAGUUUGACUGGGGCGGUCGCCUCCCAAACAGUAACGGAGGCGCGCGAUGGUUGGCUCAGACCGGUCGGAAAUCGGUCGUUGAGUGCAAUGGCAGAAGCCAGCCUGACUGCAAGACUGACAAGUCGAGCAGAGACGAAAGUCGGUCAUAGUGAUCCGGUGGUCCCAAGUGGGAGGGCCAUCGCUCAACGGAUAAAAGGUACUCUGGGGAUAACAGGCUGAUGAUGCCCAAGAGUCCAUAUCGACGGCAUCGUUUGGCACCUCGAUGUCGGCUCAUCUCAUCCUGGGGCUGGAGCAGGUCCCAAGGGUAUGGCUGUUCGCCAUUUAAAGAGGUACGUGAGCUGGGUUUAGAACGUCGUGAGACAGUUCGGUCCCUAUCUGCCGUGGGUGCAGGAGACUUGAGAAGAGUUGACCCUAGUACGAGAGGACCGGGUUGAACGAACCACUGGUGGACCAGUUAUCGUGCCAACGGUAGUGCUGGGUAGCUAUGUUCGGACAGGAUAACCGCUGAAGGCAUCUAAGCGGGAAGCCCCCUUCAAAACAAGGUCUCCCUUGAGGGCCGUGGAAGACGACCACGUCGAUAGGCCAGAGGUGUAAGUGCAGCAAUGCAUUCAGCUGACUGGUACUAAUUGCCCUAAAACA
rnacentral:rRNA from 1 species